rnacentral:rRNA from 1 species
CGCUGGCGGCGUGCCUAACACAUGCAAGUCGAGCGAGAAAGUCCCCUUCGGGGGGCGAGUAAAGCGGCGAACGGGUGAGUAACACGUAGGUAACCUGCCCUCGGGUCUGGGAUAACCUGUCGAAAGGCGGGCUAAUACCGGAUACGGCACCUGGGGUGUCAGCUCUGGAUGCGAAAGGUGGCCUCUGCUUGCAAGCUACCACUCGGGGAUGGGCCUGCGGGCCAUUAGCUUGUUGGUGAGGUAACGGCUCACCAAGGCGAAGAUGGCUAGCUGGUCUGAGAGGAUGACCAGCCACACUGGGACUGAAACACGGCCCAGACUCCUACGGGAGGCAGCAGUGAGGAAUAUUGCGCAAUGGGCGAAAGCCUGACGCAGCGACGCCGCGUGGGUGAUGAAGGCCCUCGGGUCGUAAAGCCCUGUCAGGGGGAACGAAACCGCCCCGACCUAAUACGUCGGGGCCUUGACGGUACCCCCAAAGGAAGCACCGGCUAACUCCGUG